AUUGAACGCUGGCGGCAGGCCUAACACAUGCAAGUCGAGCGAGCGGCGGACGGGUGUGUAAUGUCUGGGGACUGCCCGAUAGAGGGGGAUAACUACUGGAAACGGUAGCUAAUACCGCAUACUAUCGGAUAACCCAUAUGGGAUUAGUUAGUAGGUGGGGUAAUGGCUCACCUAGGCGACGAUCCCUAGCUGGUCUGAGAGGAUGACCAGCCACACUGGGACUGAGACACGGCCCAGACUCCUACGGAGGCAGCAGUGGGGAAUAUUGCACAAUGGGCGCAAGCCUGAUGCAGCCAUGCCGCGUGUGUGAAGAAGGCCCUAGGGUUGUAAAGUACUUUCAGUCGGGAGGCGUUACCCGCAGAAGAAGCACCGGCUAACUCCGUGCCAGCCGCCGCGGUAAUAC
rnacentral:rRNA from 1 species